rnacentral:lncRNA from 1 species
GGUGAAGAGGAGGCAAGCGCACUGUGUGGAGGAGGCGAGGGUGAGGCAGGGCGGGAGCUGCAGGGGUGGUACCUGCCACCGGCCCUCCCAGAGUGGCCGAGAAGGUUCAAGAUGACGGGUGUUCCUGUGCCUGGAACAAAGGGAGCGCUCAGCAGCGGGCUGGUUGGCCAUCCCUGGAGGCUGCUCCCCGUGUCCCGGCCCACCCAGCAGCGAGGCCCACCCUCCCUGAGCCCGCUGUGUGCAGGCUCCCAGGAGAUCCUGAGAUCACAGAGGAGCCAGCAAAGAUUCAUUAACGGAGUGGACGACGAUACGUUCUUGCUGCUGUCAGAGGCAGCCCGAGGCUGCAGGGGACAGCCGUGUGCCAUGGCACUUGUCGUUUCGCACGUGGGUGAGGCUAACCUGAGGAUCAAUCCCUGGAGUGCUGGGUCAGGAGACAUGUCAUCGCAAUUCUGACAGCUGUCAACUCGCCUUCUGCAGAGGUUGGACCACGCCCCUCCCCCAGGAAGCUCCUCCUCCAGAUGAAUUCCAGAGCAACACUGAGCUCAGACAGCAGAGGAGCUCCGGACACGCUGCUCCCACAUGAUGCUCAUCGCCCUGGGCUGACGGGGACAGCCCCGCGGUGCCUGUUCAAGAAGUGGCCACCUGGUGAAGGGCAAGGUUUUGAGUUCCUUUCUGCGACUUACUUUCUGAGGCUCAGAUUCCUCAUCUGUAAAAAAUAAGAAUAAUAAUAAAAUCCACUUUAGAGGGCUCUCGGAAAGAUGAGUUUAAGUUUUUAAUGUUAAGUAC